UACGUAGGGAGCAAGCGUUGUCCGGAAUCAUUGGGCGUAAAGCGCGCGUAGGCGGCCCGAUAAGUCCGCUGUGAAAGUCAACGGCUCAACUGUUGGAUGCCGGUGGAUACUGUCGGGCUAGAGUACGGAAGAGGCAAGUGGAAUUCCUGGUGUAGCGGUGAAAUGCGUAGAGAUCCGGAGGAACACCAGAGGCGCAGGCGGCUUGCUGGGUCUGUAUUGACGCUCAGACACGAAAGCAUGGGGAGCUAACGGG
rnacentral:rRNA from 1 species